rnacentral:rRNA from 1 species
AUUGAACGCUGGCGGCAGGCCUAACACAUGCAAGUCGAACGAGUGGCGGACGGGUGAGUAAUGUCUGGGAAACUGCCUGAUGGAGGGGGAUAACUACUGGAAACGGUAGCUAAUACCGCAUACCAUCGGAUGUGCCCAGAUGGGAUUAGCGAGUAGGUGGGGUAAAGGCUCACCUAGGCGACGUUCCCUAGCUGGUCUGCGAGGAGAACCAGCCACAGGUGAACUGAGACACGGGCCAGACUCCGACGGGAGGCAGCAGUGGGGAAUAUUGCACAAUGGGAGCAAGCCUGAUGCAGCCAUGACGCGUGUAUGAAGAAGGCCUUCGGGUUGUAAAGUACUUUCAGCGGGGAGGCGUUACCCGCAGAAGAAGCACCGGCUAACUCCGUGCCAGCAGCCGCGGUAAUUC